AUUCUUCUGUAGCUCAUAAGUGUGAUGAUUGGGUGUUCAUGCUCUUCUGUGAUAUGUGCCUUCCACAAACCUUGUCAUGACAUCAGCACAUUAUCCAUCUGACA